ACCGAAUAGAUACCCCGGUAGUCCACGCCCUAAACUAUGUCAACUAGUUGUUGGGAGAGUUAAAUCUCUUAGUAAACGCAGCUAAACGCGUGAAGUUGACCGCCUGGGGAGUACGGCCGCAAGGUUAAAACUCAAAGGAAUUGACGGGGACCCGCACAAGCGGUGGAUUAUGUGGAUUAAUUCGAUGCAACGCGAAAAACCUUACCUACCCUUGACAUGUACGGAACGGGGCAGAGACGUCCCGGUGCCCGAAAGGGAACCGUAACACAGGUGCUGCAUGGCUGUCGUCAGCUCGUGUCGUGAGAUGUUGGGUUAAGUCCCGCAACGAGCGCAACCCUUACCAUUAGUUGCUACAUUCAGUUGGGCACUCUAAUGGGACUGCCGGUGACAAACCGGAGGAAGGUGGGGAUGACGUCAAGUCCUCAUGGCCCUUAUGGGUAGGGCUUCACACGUAAUACAAUGGCCGGUACAGAGGGUUGCCAACCCGGCGAGGGGGUAGCCAAUCCCAGAAACGCCGGUCGUAGUCCGGAUUGUUCUCUGCAACUCGAGAGCAUGAAGUCGGAAUCGCUAGUAA
rnacentral:rRNA from 1 species